GACGAACGCUGGCGGCGUGCCUAAUACAUGCAAGUCGAGCGAAUGACGAGAAGCUUGCUUCUCUGAUUUAGCGGCGGACGGGUGAGUAACACGUGGGCAGCCUGCCCUACAGAUCGGGAUAACUCAGGGAAACCUGGGCUAAUACCGGAUAAUCCUUCGAAUCACAUGUUUUGAAGUUGAAAGGCGCUUCGGCGUCACUGUAGGAUGGGCCCGCGGUGCAUUAGCUAGUUGGUGGGGUAACGGCCUACCAAGGCAACGAUGCAUAGCCGACCUGAGAGGGUGAUCGGCCACAUUGGAACUAGGACACGGCCCAAACUCCUACGGGAGGCAGCAGUAGGGAAUCUUCCACAAUGGACGAAAGUCUGAUGGAGCAACACCGCGUGAGUGAUGAAGGUUUUCGGAUCGUAAAACUCUGUUGUAAGGGAAGAACAAGUACGUUAGGAAAUGAACGUACCUUGACGGUACCUUAUUAGAAAGCCACGGCUAACUACGUGCCAGCAGCCGCCGUAA
rnacentral:rRNA from 1 species